rnacentral:rRNA from 1 species
AGUGAACGCUGGCGGUAGGCCUAACACAUGCAAGUCGAACGGCAGCACAGGAGAGCUUGCUCUCUGGGUGGCGAGUGGCGGACGGGUGAGGAAUACAUCGGAAUCUACUCUGUCGUGGGGGAUAACGUAGGGAAACUUACGCUAAUACCGCAUACGACCUACGGGUGAAAGCAGGGGCUCUUCGGACCUUGCGCGAUUGAAUGAGCCGAUGUCGGAUUAGCUAGUUGGCGGGGUAAAGGCCCACCAAGGCGACGAUCCGUAGCUGGUCUGAGAGGAUGAUCAGCCACACUGGAACUGAGACACGGUCCAGACUCCUACGAGAGGCAGCAGUGGGGAAUAUUGGACAAUGGGCGCAAGCCUGAUCCAGCCAUACCGCGUGGGUGAAGAAGGCCUUCGGGUUGUAAAGCCCUUUUGUUGGGAAAGAAAUCCAGCUGGCUAAUACCCGGUUGGGAUGACGGUACCCAAAGAAUAAGCACCGGCUAACUUCGUGCCAGCAGCCGCGGUAA